rnacentral:rRNA from 1 species
GACGAACGCUGGCGGCGUGCUUAACACAUGCAAGUCGAACGGAAAGGCCCUGCUUUUGUGGGGUGCUCGAGUGGCGAACGGGUGAGUAACACGUGAGUAACCUGCCCUUGACUUUGGGAUAUCUUCAGGAGACUGGGGCUAAUACAGGAUAGGAGAUCCUGCUGCAUGGUGGGGGUUGGAAAGUUUCGGCGGUUGUGGAUGGACUAGAGGCUUAUCCGCUGCUUGGGCAGGUAGGGGCUUACCAAGGUUUUGACGGGUAGCCGGCCUGAGAGGGUGGACGGCCACCUGGGUACUGCGAGACGGCCCAGACGCCUACGGGACGCAGUAGUGGAGAGUAUUGCACAACAGGCGGAAGCCUGAUGCAGCAACGCCGCGUGCGGGAUGACGUCUUUCGGGGUGUAAACCGCUUUGGCCGGUGACGUAGCGUGCUUGACGGUAAUGGGUAAAGAAGCACCGGCUAACUACGUG